CGCGUGUUUUAUAAUACUGAUAGGCCCUGACAACUAAAUUCCAGGAUAAAUUGUUAUUUUUCAAACUUUAAGGGUUAUUCACGGCACAUAUUUCUGUUGUGAUGGUUUGUAUUGUGCUUUAGUUUGUAUAUCUAAGUUAUCUAUUAACUCAUUUUUGUUCAGCUUUGGUACUAUUAAAUACGGUUUAAAAUGUCUUUUGACAGUUUGUUUACGUUUGCUA